rnacentral:rRNA from 1 species
UUUGACUCUGGCUAGGAUGAACGCUGGCGGCGUGCCUAAUACAUGCAAGUCGAGCGAACGGACGAGAAGCUUGCUUCUCUGAUGUUAGCGGCGGACGGGUGAGUAACACGUGGAUAACCUACCUAUAAGACUGGGAUAACUUCGGGAAACCGGAGCUAAUACCGGAUAAUAUUUUGAACCGCAUGGUUCAAAAGUGAAAGACGGUCUUGCUGUCACUUAUAGAUGGAUCCGCGCUGCAUUAGCUAGUUGGUAAGGUAACGGCUUACCAAGGCAACGAUGCAUAGCCGACCUGAGAGGGUGAUCGGCCACACUGGAACUGAGACACGGUCCAGACUCCUACGGGAGGCAGCAGUAGGGAAUCUUCCGCAAUGGGCGAAAGCCUGACGGAGCAACGCCGCGUGAGUGAUGAAGGUCUUCGGAUCGUAAAACUCUGUUAUUAGGGAAGAACAUAUGUGUAAGUAACUGUGCACAUCUUGACGGUACCUAAUCAGAAAGCCACGGCUAACUACGUGCCAGCAGCCGCGGUAAUACGUAGGUGGCAAGCGUUAUCCGGAAUUAUUGGGCGUAAAGCGCGCGUAGGCGGUUUUUUAAGUCUGAUGUGAAAGCCCACGGCUCAACCGUGGAGGGUCAUUGGAAACUGGAAAACUUGAGUGCAGAAGAGGAAAGUGGAAUUCCAUGUGUAGCGGUGAAAUGCGCAGAGAUAUGGAGGAACACCAGUGGCGAAGGCGACUUUCUGGUCUGUAACUGACGCUGAUGUGCGAAAGCGUGGGGAUCAAACAGGAUUAGAUACCCUGGUAGUCCACGCCGUAAACGAUGAGUGCUAAGUGUUAGGGGGUUUCCGCCCCUUAGUGCUGCAGCUAACGCAUUAAGCACUCCGCCUGGGGAGUACGACCGCAAGGUUGAAACUCAAAGGAAUUGACGGGGACCCGCACAAGCGGUGGAGCAUGUGGUUUAAUUCGAAGCAACGCGAAGAACCUUACCAAAUCUUGACAUCCUUUGACAACUCUAGAGAUAGAGCUUUCCCCUUCGGGGGACAAAGUGACAGGUGGUGCAUGGUUGUCGUCAGCUCGUGUCGUGAGAUGUUGGGUUAAGUCCCGCAACGAGCGCAACCCUUAAGCUUAGUUGCCAUCAUUAAGUUGGGCACUCUAAGUUGACUGCCGGUGACAAACCGGAGGAAGGUGGGGAUGACGUCAAAUCAUCAUGCCCCUUAUGAUUUGGGCUACACACGUGCUACAAUGGACAAUACAAAGGGCAGCGAAACCGCGAGGUCAAGCAAAUCCCAUAAAGUUGUUCUCAGUUCGGAUUGUAGUCUGCAACUCGACUACAUGAAGCUGGAAUCGCUAGUAAUCGUAGAUCAGCAUGCUACGGUGAAUACGUUCCCGGGUCUUGUACACACCGCCCGUCACACCACGAGAGUUUGUAACACCCGAAGCCGGUGGAGUAACCUUUUAGGAGCUAGCCGUCGAAGGUGGGACAAAUGAUUGGGGUGAAGUCGUAACAAGGGUAAGCAA